rnacentral:rRNA from 1 species
UACGGGGGGGGCAAGCGUUGUUCGGAAUUACUGGGCGUAAAGGGCUCGUAGGCGGCCAACUAAGUCAGACGUGAAAUCCCCAGGCUCAACCUGGGAACUGCGUCUGAUACUGGAUGGCUUGAAUUCGGGAGAGGGAUGCAGAAUUCCAGGUGUAGCGGUGAAAUGCGUAGAUAUCUGGAGGAAUACCGGUGGCGAAGGCGGCUCACUGGCCCGAUACUGACGCUGAGGUGCGAAAGCGUGGGGAGCAAACAGG